GACGGCUCAACUGUUAGGCUUCUGGGGGAUACUGUCAGACUUGGAACCGGGAGAGGUAAGAGGUACUACGGGGGUAGGAGUGAAAUCUUGUAAUCCUUGUGGGACCACCAGUGGCGAAGGCGUCUUACCAGAACGGGUUCGACGGUGAGGGACGAAAGCUGGGGGCACGAACCGGAUUAGAUACCCGGGUAGUCCCAGCCGUAAACGAUGCUCGCUAGGUGUCUGGGAUGGUGCGACCGUUUCAGGUGCCGCAGGGAAGCCGUGAAGCGAGCCACCUGGGAAGUACGGCCGCAAGGCUGAAACUUAAAGGAAUUGGCGGGGGAGCACUACAACGGGUGGAGCCUGCGGUUUAAUUGGACUCAACGCCGGAAAACUCACCUGGGGCGACAGCAAUAUGUAGGUCAGGCUGAAGGUCUUACCUGAAUCGCUGAGAGGAGG
rnacentral:rRNA from 1 species